GGUUGGAAAGCCGGUUUUCUUUGAUGUCACGGAACCUUUGUUGUCUUCGACAUGGGUAAUGGUUGGAAAGCCGGUUUUCUUUGAUGUCACGGAAC
rnacentral:misc_RNA from 1 species